UACAGAGGGUGCAAGCGUUGUUCGGAAUCACUGGGCGUAAAGGGCGCGUAGGCGGCCAUACAAGUCUGACGUGAAAGCCCGGGGCUCAACCCCGGAAGUGCGUUGGAAACUGUACGGCUUGAGUUCGGUAGAGGAGGGCAGAAUUCCUGGUGUAGGGGUGAAAUCCGUAGAUAUCAGGAGGAAAACCAGUGGCGAAAGCGGCCCUCUGGAACGAAACUGACGUUGAGGCGCGAAAGCGUGGGUAG
rnacentral:rRNA from 1 species